rnacentral:lncRNA from 1 species
CCAGUACGUAUUCAUGUGGUGAUCAUUCCUGUAUGAUGGUUAUUCACCAUUGCUUUAUGAUGUUACUUUUGCAAUUUCUUUAACCUAUUCCAUAAUAGCAAAUCAAAUAAGACAGUAUUAAAUGAUAAUAAGUCACCUUUAUAAAUAAAACAGACAAUAACAUUCUAAAUAUCAAAUUACAUUACAUAAACUUGCACUAACAAAUCAAUCCCGCACCACUGAAAAAAGUUGCAUCUAACGAAAUCUUCACUCCCAUCUUGUCGAAGAAGAACACACACUCCCUCGUCAACGAAAUCAAAACACCCACCUUGCGAAAAAAGAAAAGCACAAUAAAAGUCAAAUUUCUUCUUCCAUUAAACUUACCUUGAAGUUAGGGCAACCCCAAAAUCUUUUGCCCUUGUUUUUAGGGGUUCUCACAAUGCGGAAGACUACAUUGUGACCACAAAAGCAAGUGAGUUUUACACCCAACUUGCUCUCACUGGCAGAACUCUGUUGAAAGCCCCAACCCGUGCAUUUGCAAGAAGAAGAUGAACUAGACAUUUCGUGAGCUGAACAGUGCUUCCAGAACUCUUCUUC